GAUGAACGCUGGCGGCGUGCCUAAUACAUGCAAGUCGAGCGAACAGGCGAGGAGCUUGCUCCUUCGACGUUAGCGGCGGACGGGUGAGUAACACGUAGGUAACCUACCUAUAAGACUGGGAUAACUUCGGGAAACCGGAGCUAAUACCGGAUAAUAUUUCGAACCGCAUGGUUCGAUAGUGAAAGAUGGCUUUGCUAUCACUUAUAGAUGGACCUGCGCCGUAUUAGCUAGUUGGUAAGGUAACGGCUUACCAAGGCAACGAUACGUAGCCGACCUGAGAGGGUGAUCGGCCACACUGGAACUGAGACACGGUCCAGACUCCUACGGGAGGCAGCAGUAGGGAAUCUUCCGCAAUGGGCGAAAGCCUGACGGAGCAACGCCGCGUGAGUGAUGAAGGUCUUCGGAUCGUAAAACUCUGUUAUUAGGGAAGAACAAACGUGUAAGUAACUGUGCACGUCUUGACGGUACCUAAUCAGAAAGCCACGGCUAACUACGU
rnacentral:rRNA from 1 species